AUGGCGCAUACCCCGAACCCCAGCCGGAGGUCGUGGGUGGGCCCGCCGACCCCCUUCCUCACGCCGCGGCCCGAGCGCCGGGAGCUGCGGUGGGCGGAAGCGGGCUCGCACAGCUCCGUGCGCCGCAGCGGCGUAGGCGCCUGCAGCAUCAACGGCAGCAAUGACAGAGACCGCGAGGCGAACGUGCAGGUCGUGCUCCGGUGCAGUGACAACGGAAAUUUUGAGCAAAUUGCUGCUGGUGCUAGGAGUCAGAUGCACAUCUCCAUGGUGUCUCUGAUGCGUUUUUAUGACUGGUGCAUGGUUAGACCGCUAAGCGUGGAGGAGCAGAAAGCGAAUGUCCAGAGUGCCGUCUCCUGCAACGACACCAAGAGGGAGGUCACAGUUCUGAACAGUCUAUUCAAGCAAGCUGACAAAACAUUCACCUUUGACACGGUUUUUGGCCCAAAAUCUCAGCAGAGGGCAAUAUAUGAUCAUGCUGUUGCACCAAUUGUCGAUGAUGUCCUUGAAGGCUACAAUUGUACUGUCUUUGCCUUUGGACAAACUGGAACCGGGAAAACUUAUACUAUGGAGGGAGAGAUGAUGCAGCAGGUAGGUGAACUGCCAACUAGUGCUGGUGUCAUGCCAAGAGCAGUGCGCCAUAUUUUUGACAUUUUGGAAGCACAAAAGGCUGACUAUAGCAUGAAGGUAACCUUCUUGGAGCUCUAUAACGAAGAAAUAACAGAUCUGUUGGCUUCAGAGGACCAAAGUAGAUUCCUUGAAGAUAGACACAAAAGGCCUACUCUAUCUCUUAUGGAAGAUGGCAAAGGUGGGUCUGUCAUAAGAGGCCUUGAAGAAAUUGUUGUCUACAGUCCUGGUGAGAUAUAUAGUCUGUUACAACAUGGAUCAACUAGGAGACGCACUGCCGACACUGCACUGAAUAUGCAAAGCAGCCGUUCACAUUCUGUCUUUUCUAUAUAUAUCCAUGUCAAAGUAACAACAACAGGGAAUCGGGAACUCAUAAAGUGUGGGAGGUUGAACCUUGUAGACCUGGCAGGAUCAGAGAGUAUAGCUCGAUCAGGUGCAAAAGAGGUUAGAGCAAGAGAAGCUGGAGAGCUGAAUAAGAGCUUAUUAACACUGGGUCGUGUCAUCACUGCACUUGUUGAAGAUUCAGUUCAUGUACCAUACAGAGCUAACAUGUCUCUGAAGGAAAAGGACUUCAUAAUCUCAAAUUUACUCCAUGCCGAGAAUGUAAUUCUUGAACGUGCAAAGGUUCUGUGUGGCACCGUCGAGACUGCAUCUGGAGAUAUUGCUGAUCUUCAGAAUAAACUAGGAAGACAAUCGAAAACUGAAGUUGAAAAUAAAGGGUUGCUAUUCAAUUUUCGGUCUCAACUAGAUCAGAGUCUUGGACUUCUUCGUAACACAGUUGUUCGGUCGAUUUGUGAACAGCGCCAAUUUUUGGAGUCCAUGACUGGACAAAUGAAUUCGUAUUUUUCAGCUAAAUCUGAGUCAGCUAACCAUUUGAAGAGAAGAAUCGCAAAGGCCAAAGAUAUGCAUACCUCUGGUGUGCAAUGCAUGAACGAGCUUGUCAAUACUCUGCGGCAGCGGUCCAUCACAGACUCUGAGCAGAUGAAACUGAAUAUAUCUUCACAAGCAAUAGCUGUUGACAAUUUUCUAGCAGUGAUGGUUUCAGAGGCUGAACAAGUAUUAACUGAGGUUUUGAGAUCUACUUCUGAACUCAAGGAGCUGUUAGCAUUUUCUGCUGAACAGCAAGAAUUAGGAUUGCAAAAGAGUCUUACCUCAGCACAAGCCAUGUCGAAGACGUCAAUAGAUUUCUUUAAUGAUAUCAGUACACAUGCGUCUAGGCUCAUGAAACUUAUGAAGCAAAGUCAAAGAGGAUGCUCCUCUCGUCUUGCUGAAUUUGAGAAGGGUUUUGAGGAAGCUGCUAUUAGAGAAGAGCAAGCUGCUCUUGACAAGAUUGCUGGAAUUUUAGCUGGCUUGACUGCCAGGAAAACGACAAUGGUUUCAGAAUAUGUUGGGCAACUGAAUGAGAGGUAUAGUGAGGAGCAGGAACACCUGGCGUUGGAAAUGUCCAGCCUACAACAAGUUUCAGAUAAUGGCAAAAAAGAGGCUGCAUCCUGUGCUGAAAAGCUAAAGAACCAAAUCCUGGAGGAUAUGUCAUCGCAUGCUAAUACCAAAGAUAAAAUGGGAGACGUCUUGCAGCAGUGCUUGAAGGGAAGCCACCAUUCUGUUUCUUACUGGUCACAUACGCAGUCAUGUUUAGAACAUCUAAAUAAGAGCUCAGUUCUGGAAGCUAAUGAUUUUAUACAAGAGAGAAGAAAUGAAAAUGAAAGUAUUAUCCAGGAGAUUCAACUUCGUUCUUCACACAACGAUGCAGGGUUCCAUGCCAUUACAUCUGAUAUUUUGACUACUUCAGAGAAUUCUCACUUAGUGGAUCAUGAAACAAGAGAGAGAAUGGAAACUCUAUCCACCUCCUUCUCAAAUCAUUUGGGAUUGCUGACUGAAAAACACAAUCAAGGCACAGAAUCUAUAAGAACCUUUGCAAGUAACUGUAUUGAAAAGGAUUACUCGGUUAACAGUCCAGUUCGUCAUCGCCCACGGGAGCUACUGGCCGGCGCAUAUAGCUUCGAAUCAAUUGAGGAACUGAGAGCCUCGAUGCCAGAUCUUGUGGCAAAAUUCAAAUCAAAGGACAAGCUGGAUGAAGUGGACAAAGGAAAAAGCUCCUCGGACCAAACGACACGUGCUCCUAGAAGUCCUCUCACGCCAGUCAAUCACUAG
rnacentral:rRNA from 1 species